GCCAAAGACUAGAUUAUCCAGUGUUGCAGAGGAACCUUAGGUUUGGAUUUUUUGGCUUUGACUUAGCCAGUGACACCUCGGAUUUUGUGCUACUUCUUCCCAAGGCCCUCCUAGGUCUAAGGAAAACGUUAACACGAAGUGUGGACAAGAAAACAGAUUCCGUUCCUAUUCAAAUGUAAAGAGUCAUCUGUAGAGGCCUUGCAGCACUCAGGAACACCCUUACGGCCAGACCUAAACCCCACCAAGGCUUGGAUAGACGACUCACAGAAAUAUUUAAAGGCAAGUGUUAUUUUAUCAAAGCAA